AAGAUGUUGUAAGUCUUCAUAGAAUUUAGCGACUCUGGCCUCAGCUGUGGAUGCGUCUGGAAAUGAAAGGAAAGUCUGAUUCUGGAACGAUCUCAUAGGAACCUGGAAUGCAAGAUCUGUGAACCAAGGUGGCCGUGGUCAGGUAUCGGUUGGGGCCAAUCCGCCCUUCUAGUCACAGGGAGCUCAGAAUCCGAGAGCCGGAGCCCACCACGCGAGGCAUUCAGGAGACCAAACCCGAAUACGCUUUUUCCCCUCGAAGCACGCGGAGGACACAGUCUAUGCUACUCUCCAAAGACCGUGAAAAAAGUGCCGGUAUGGUAUGGCCAGCGGCUGCUGUUGCCAAGCGCUUUGUUCUUGGAACACGCUGACCGCCCUUUGGGACUCAGACCAUCCACGAGACGCCGUGUGUCAACCAGGCCGCCGAGUGGGACGUUCCCUGGUCUGCUCCCCGAUGCCCCCCGUUGUUUUAGUGGGGCCGCAAGGAUGGUGCUCACAGUCCUAGCAGGGACGCCUCUCCGUCCUUCCCCCACAACCGGCGUGUGGUCAGUCCUAAUGUAAACAUCAUGUGAGUCUCUAUUCUGCAGUGUGGUCUGGGGUGCAGCUUCCUCUUGGCAGCCACGGCUCAGGGCAGCGUCAGCCUGACGGGCCUCGCCUGUGGGCUGGCAUCCUGGCAAAGCCCUCUGGUAGGGCUGGAGGCGGGGCGGGGAGGAUGGAAUCUAUCAGAGAAGGCGGACGUGCUCUGGGUUUGGACCGUGACACCCUGCUGCCCAGGGGCACACGAGCCGGCACCCGCGGGUCAGCACUGCCGUAUCCUGGUGCCUUCUGGGCGGGUGGCUCCUGGGGGCUCGCCGUCGGCGCCCUGGCGUCCCUUCAUGCACCGUCAUGGCUGACUGAAGCCGUGCCCUGGGCCUGGUGCUCUGCCCCUUGCCAUCGCCCCCCGGGGAACGG
rnacentral:lncRNA from 1 species